UAAAAGUAGGUGUACAUGUAAACUGUAAAAUUUAAUAAACAAUGGCGUCAAGAUUGUGUCAUACUGGCAUCCGUUUUAGUGCUCACAAUUCAUUCAGGAUGCAAACUGUUCUAUCACUCAAUAGGAAUCUGAGAAAUACUGCAUCACAUGCAUUCUGUGUCAGAAGGACCAAAACUAAUAAUAUACCAGCAUACCUUGAUUACAAAGGUGGUGGAACAAGAAUAUUGGCAAUAGUUAGAAAUAUUGAUGGAGAAACAGAGGUAUGUUUGAUCAGCUAGUG